GGCUAUCUGAAAUCUUACAGACUGGGCUCACGGCACUGCAGUUGGUUCCCCUCUCCUGCCCGCUGUGUCUGCCUCUGUGCAGCUGUGCUGUCCCUCGGUCGCAUGGGCACCGGCUCUCAUGCAGCAGAAUUGCAAGGCACGUCACAGAGCUGCUCACCUGUAAAGUAACACCAACAAAAGAAAUCAGGCUGCCUCAUUAAGCAUUCAGUUCAGUGUGACUAACAUGUCUGUCAGAUGCACUGGUAAAAUUGUUUGUGGGCCUGAAUAUUGAACACUGCCUUCUUUUUUUUUGUCCCUCUUCCAACUUCCAACUGCCUGUACCCAUAAAAUGGUGGAAAAUAAAGGGACUGAAAGCAGCAAGAAGGGAUGUAAGAGUCUGGAAAAGAAAAUCUAUUUUCUCCACAGUGAAGCAAGUUUUAAUCCAAGUUUUGUUUUACUACUCCAUUGAAGACAACAUACUGUAUGUUUUUCAUAUUUUCUGUGCUGUAAACAAGGAAACUGGAUUAUUUAACUUUUAAUUUCAUUUAAUCAUCCUCUCAUACCUCACAUUUAUCUGUUUGCUUAUUACCAUAUUAUCUAUGGAUGCAGCAGCUAAAUGUCAUUAUUUUUAUUGUACAAAUAGGGCACUCAGAAACAAAAUGCUUAUCCAAGUAGGCCAGUGGCAGAGGUAGAAAUAUAACUGUGGGUUAAUGUCCAGUAACAAAAAAAAAAAUGGGAUUUUCAUCUACAGUGCUCUUGGAUUUAAAAUAUUAUUUUGCCUGGUUCAAAGACACUGUAUUAUGUCUCCACAUGGCUUUUUCUUAGAGCUGUGCAGCUGGAGUACUAGUGUUCUGAAAUGUCCCAACUGAAUUUCAAAUGAAUAUCAGAAAUAGGCACGGAUAUACAUGAUACAUGCAGAAUAUGUAUCUAGGGAAAUCACAGAAGAUCUAGUUUCCACUAGUUGGUUAUACAUAAAUUAUUUAGGCAAUCUUCAUAAGCCUGUUGAUUAGCUGGAGGCAGAUAUCUAUUUUAGGUGUACUUAGGGUCAGGAUUAACUCACAAAACUUGGAUGGCAUUGUCCAUAAAACAGCUAGAAUUAUUUCAGCAAUCUCAUCCGAAAAUGAGGUAUUCUCCUUUAUCACUUUUAAAUGUAUGUAUUUUAGCUUUCCCUAACGAAGAGGAUGACAUUUCUGGAAAUGAUGUGUUAAAUGUCUUACAAAGUUAUACUAGAAACUAUUUAGGUGACUGGAGAAAGAACAGGACUGAGAGCCAGGAGACUAUUUCUAUUUCUAGUUCUGCCAUAGAUUUUGUGACUUUGAACCUCAGCUUGUGCUUCUGUGAAAUGGGGAUGAUAAUAUUUACUGUUCUCUCAGGGAUAUUUUGUAAUGCAAUUUUCAUGGUGGUCUCUGAAAUGCCUGAGAUCCUUGAUUACAGUGUUCAAAUGAAAGCAAUUACUAAGAUAAUAGUAUCAGCAUGAUUAUUGAUGAUAAAAAAUAAUGUUUGAUAAUGUUAUUGAUGUUAAAUUAUGAGCUUGAUAGCGUGGUUCUCAAAAAAAAAAAGCCCAACCUGUUCAUAUCAGGAAGAUCGUUGUAACACACUUCUAGGAACAAGAAUGCUGCCAGCAUAGUUGCAACAUGAGUGGAAAAGAAUCUGUGAAGCUCUCUGUCUGAGCAAUUGUAGGAGGCAGAAAUGAAUAUCUUUUCAAUAAUGCUUUGUGACAGAGGAGCAGAAGCAGCUUUAGAGCUUAACACUAUUUUUAAAAUAUGACUCAGGAGAGGUUUUCUUUUUCUAACUGAGCUGGGGAAAAAAAAAACACAAAAACCACCCAAGAGUCAAACAAUCUUUUAGAAAGCUGGAACCUUUCAAUAAAACAACUAUUGUAGGUCAGGAUAAUUUGAAUUUGCAUACAACACCAUUGACAAACACAGAAGAGAUCUAUGCAUAAUAAACAGAGAAAAACAGAUCUGAUAUAUUGGAAACCUUGAGUUCUGAGAGAUUAAUGAAUUGCCCCUUCCACAACAUACCAUUUUUGUGAAAUACCUACAUAGAUUGUACUGAAUAGCAGAAAUAAGAUGAAAAAUCAACGCAGCUGUAAUUCCACUAAAGCAAUAUGUAUUCAGAUUUGGUUAGUCACAGUAACAGAAAAUGAAGGCAGUUCUACAGCUUCUCUUUUCUUCCCACCUCAGGAAGCUGAUGCAAAGACCUUAACAAAGGUAGGGAAAAGUGACAGAUGCAAUGCAAUUGCAUCCAUUACUCCUACCACAGAAACAGUGCCUUUUUAAAAACAAAGCCCACCACUGUUUUGGGUCACGCAGAUUUCUGAUGGUUCAGCCUGGAAGAAUUUAACUGGUAAUCCAAACAGAUCAUUUCGUUUCAAUCUCUGAUUUUGCCUUAUGUUAUAGGAGACAAAAAAGAUCAACAUAAAAUUUAAAGUUAUUGUGUAACUAAUAAAAGAGCUUCUUUGACAGUAUAGAAGAAUGAAAACUAAAGUGUGUUACUUUGGUAUCUUAGUAGUAACUUUUAAUGAGUUUGGAUUAAAUCUUCAACACAAAACACAGGUGCUUCAGCUUGUGUCAUAUCAGAAAAUGUCACAAGUCUAAAUAAGUCGUGUGCCAUUUGUCUGAAACAAUGGCUGAAAAUCAGGUAAUCUCCAUGACUACGUAGAGCUUUCCAGUCUCACAUUAUUGCUACUCACCUACAUGGAGAGCAUAAGGAUGUCAUCCUUUCAAUUUUGAAAAGCCAUAGGAAUAACUAUGAUUCAGAAAAUAUAAGAUAGCUAUGCAUUGCAUGGGGAAAAUCUUCAUGGUACAGUACUACAAAACAACAACAAUAUAUAUUGUUUAUACCACCUUGAUUACAGUUUCUGAUAUGGUCAAGAAAUGCAAAAAAAGAACGUUUUAAAAAUAAGUAAUUCAGGUCACUUCAACAUAAGACUCUUAUUAGACAAAGUUGGAGUAAAUAGAAAGUGGAAAGACAAAACACUGGCAUCAGUGAGCGAUGUUCUGGUUGUUGCUGCUGCUCACAGACUAAUAUAAGCAUCAUUAUGAACAUACUGAUAGGAGCAUAUGAGAAGUGUUAACUCUGUACUUUUCAGACAUCCUUCUUUCCUUCAUGCUUCCUAUCACAAGCAGGACCGUACAAAAAAACUGUGGAUGAGUAAUUCCCAUUCUCUUUUUCCUUUCAGUGUACAAGACUGGUUCUGUCUCCAUAAAUAUCUAUGAAGCAGGAAAGGAAUUUGAAUGUAUAGUGCCCUUAGAGACGGAUACAAUGGCACUAUUAAUCCACAGUAAUUACUGCCCUACCUUGUAGCUGGUAGUUUCUAGGACUUGUCAUGAGCCUGCUGAGCACGAGACUAACUCUCUUGUACCUGGUUAGUAUAGAGACAGUGUGCACUACGUGUUCAACAGAGUGCAAGGUAAGCUCUGAAUGCCAGAAUUCAUUUUUGUGAUUCAAGAAUCACAAAAAGAAAAUCAUCCAAAGUAACUGACUUAAGUAUUAAUACUCUGAGAAAUGGAACUGUGUGGUACAUUUGUGUGUCCAACUUGAGGCACUGUUCUCCUGAAUGCCAGAGACUGCUGACUGCUGGCUUCAAAACCAAAGCAACCUCUCUGUUCUGGAAGUGUGGCCUGAGCUCUAUAGCAAAAUAAUGCAACUUUUAUUGCCUACAGACAAUAUGCAGCAUGACCACAACAGUUAGCCAUCAACUCGUUACAGACAUAAAGUACAGGUCAAUUUUGUAACACCUUCCUAACAACAAACUCUAUCAUUUCAUCAGUACUGUGGCUGACCCUGCACAUCCUUACAAGCUUGGCAGGAUCCCUAGCCACUUCUACAGAUAGUAAAACUGAGAUCCAGAAGCUCACAAGGGAUAUUUACAAAGGAAAAAAAAAAUGGCAGCUAGCUACCAAAUUAAUUAGAAUUAGACCUUAAUUAGAUGGAAAAUUCAGGUCAGGAUGAGAACAUAAUUCAAAUCUCGUGGGCACCGACCAGUGCUUUGUUUCUAAAGCUGUUGUGCAUUUUUAAGAUAGCAGUGAAGCUGAUUUCCCUUUAAGAGAAAUGACUUGGCCAUCAAAUAUGGAUAAAACUAUUUUUUCAGAUAUGCAUGAUGGAUCUUGGUUCUGAUAAA
ensembl:lncRNA